ACAGAGGGGGCUAGCGUUAUUCGGAAUUAUUGGGCGUAAAGGGCGCGUAGGCGGCCAUGCGUGUCUUCCGUGAAAUCCCUCGGCUUAACUGAGGACGUGCGGAAGAAACUGCAAGGCUCGAGUCCGGGAGAGGGGGGUGGAAUUCCCAGUGUAGCGGUGAAAUGCGUAGAUAUUGGGAGGAACACCGGUGGCGAAGGCGGCCCCCUGGACCGGUACUGACGCUGAGGCGCGAAAGCGUGGGUAGCAAACGGGAUUAGAUACCCCGGUAGUCCACGCCGUAAACGAUGGGCACUUGGUGUCGCGGGUAUCGACCCCUGCGGUGCCGAAGCUAACGCAUUAAGUGCCCCGCCUGGGGAGUACGGUCGCAAGGCUG
rnacentral:rRNA from 1 species